rnacentral:rRNA from 1 species
UACGGAGGGGGCUAGCGUUGUUCGGAAUUACUGGGCGUAAAGCGCACGUAGGCGGACUGUUAAGUCGGGGGUGAAAUCCUGGGGCUCAACCUCAGAAUUGCCUCCGAUACUGGCAGUCUCGAGUGCGGGAGAGGUGAGUGGAAUUCCCAGUGUAGAGGUGAAAUUCGUAGAUAUUGGGAAGAACACCAGUGGCGAAGGCGGCUCACUGGCCCGGUAACUGACGCUG